AAAACACAAAUGUUAUCGUGUUAUUCAUGUCUUAACCAAGAAUUGAAAGACUCGGCCAAAUUACUUGUCAUCUUAUCCCAACGCAUCUUCUUAAAUUUAGAGAUUGCCCAAUGUUGAGGGUUAUUUUCUUCAACCCACUUCGCCAAAUCAUGAUUAAAUGUCCUUAAAGUAUCCAUUACAACCUCAUAAUCACAAUCUAACCUAGCAUAGGUGAUAGAAUCAAGCAUUUGCAAAGCAUUUUCCUUCCCUUUCCUCCCUUUAGUGUUCAGCUUUGUUAGAAAGCUACUGAAGUUUUCUUUAAUGUGACGAUAGCAAUGUGCAUGGUUUUCAC
rnacentral:lncRNA from 1 species